ACGAGCCCCUUUGCGCUACAAAGAGAACCUUACCGCCAGGCUGCGUCGUAUUUCGUCAGUAAACAACAGCACUACCAGCUUAAUGAGCUCCCGAAGAUCCUCUCCUCCCGCUAGCAGGAGGACCGCCUUGCCUUCGCGAGAACCCUCAAGAACUCGUGAGAGCAAAAACGACUUCGUUAACAUCGUCGGAAGCUUAUGUACAAAACACUUGCCGUCCAAUACUCACAAUAAGAACGUUAAUUCUAGCGG